CUUGACUGCCCCGAGCCACAGAGGCGUGCCGUCCGAUCGGUCCUGCCCAUAGGUGGCCAGCAGUGCCUGGGCUUC
rnacentral:antisense_RNA from 1 species